rnacentral:misc_RNA from 1 species
GUAGGUGAACCUGCGGAAGGAUCAUUAGAGAUUGGCCUCUGGGCCGUUUUCGAACACACACACACACCGUGAACCGUUUCUCCACGUCUCUCGGGGCGGGGGAUUUACCACCUUAAACAUUUGUAUACCAGAACGUCAUUCUUAAUAAAACAAACAAAACUUUCAACAACGGAUCUCUUGGUUCUG